rnacentral:lncRNA from 1 species
UGAAAUCUCCUCAAAUAUCUCCCUAGUUCUCUUUCUUUAGAAGCCCUGUUCAUGCCUCUAACAUUCCAUACUAGACUUUUCAUAGAGAAAUAUGGCUUCUCUCCCCCUCUGGGGGUCGACCAGAUACAUCCAGGCCCAAAGCUCUCCAAUGGUAAGUGGCGAGAAAUAAUUCUGAGUAAUUGUAGUCCUAUCAAUAGCUUUAUGAUACAUAUUGCAUAAGUAAGACUACCAGCCAUCCUUGUGCCUGCUACCUGAAUGAAUUCAUUAUCAUUAUUCUUAGGAGUGAUUUGUACCAUUUGAGUAUAUUGAGUUCCAUCCUGCAACUAAAUUUUCUUCUCCCCUCUCAUUGUAGUAACCUUAGGAUCUAUAACAGCCUUUUUUUCUUGAGGUACCCACUUAGGAAUCAAUUUCUUUGGCUCUUGUGGUUUCUCUCGCUUCUGGUAGGCUUGAUCAUGGUGUUGUUGUUGCCUAGUUGGAUGAGCAGCCUCCUUUUUACAAUCAUGUCUUACUUGCAUACAAUCGUGGCAAUAUAGUGGUCGCCAAUCAUACUCAAUUUGUUGUAAGAAACUUUUCCCUGAUGGCUCAUAUACUUCAACCUCAUCUACCAUCCCCGGUGAGACAUCUAUUUUCCACCAGUACCCUUGCAAAUGAUACCCUUGUCUAUUUUUUAGUACAUUCAUUGGCAAAUAUAGGUCAUCCCAAUCUACUCGCAAUCUUGCUCAAUACAGAUCGUCCCCAACAAUUUCGUGGGAGAUUUGGGAGUCUUACCCAAAGAGGCAUGGUGCGUGGAAAUCUUAUUGAAAAUCAAAAUUAAGCGUCCAUUCCUUCAAAAUUUAGGGUUUGUUAUUCAGUGUAUAAGGUCCACCAUACAGUAUCUCAUUCUUAUCAUCCUAGCACUGAAAUCUAGCUAUGUACCACCCAUCGUCAUGAAGAAAAAGCUCAGGGGCUGUAACUUUGUUCCAUAUGCGUGCUAUGUAGCUGGUCAUAUAAGCAUAACUAGGCUUUGCCCCCAUUAUAAAGAGAACCAAAGCAUUUUCCCAUAUUUUUGUUUGUUGAGCUAUCUCAUUUUUCUUAAUUUGAACCACUGGUUUCCCAUCUACUACUAUCGGAAUGAUAAAAUCAAGUGACAUACUAUUCGUCACCGAACGAUUGUUCAUGAACAGUCCAAACCAUUCUUUAUUUCCCCCUCCGCAGGCUCUGUUUCCUUCCCCAAAUCCAGAUUCCGUCUAGCAUUAGUGAUAACUUCUCCUUCCAUAAACCGGUGUUUUACCCUUAUUAAUUCCUAGCACACUCACUUGGAUCUCAUUCCCCUCCUGCUCCUUCGUAAUCGUCGUCUCUUCUUCUUAUAGGGCUUUUUUCACCCAAAGAUUGAUACAAUAACCUCCAGAACUUGAUUCGCCAGAUUUUUCUUUACUACCUCUGAGUUACGUGGUCUUCCUCACCCUCAUUUAGCCAUGGAAACCCUUUCGGGCGCACAUUAGUAGAGAGGCGCUAAGCGUGCACCGAGAGAGGUAUUAAGUCGAUAAGCCCUUGCUAUGUUUUCAGUAAGAUUGUUGUUGCAGUCUAAUAGCUCUUUUACUUACGUGUUAUUUAAUUAUUAAAGACUCCACCAAUAAGUAUUUUGUGAAACGGUCAAAUUAUUUUUAAUGAUGCGUGUACUAUUAUUUUUUCUUUUUAACCAUUUUUUUGUUUGAACCUUAAGUAGCCAUGUUUAACUAAAUACAUAAAUUUAGUCCAUUGCAUUCAUGAAUCAAAAUGAUCUAUUCUCUGCUCAUUUUUCUAGCUCAAAAAUAUUUAUUUUAAAUAAUAUUACUUCAGAAAUUCAAUAUUAAAUGCUGAUAACUAGUUUUAAUUAUAUAUUGUUAAUAUUAAAGAAAUAUUUUUUAAUAUUUAAAAAACAUCUAAUUACUAAAAAAAAUAUUAUAAAUUAUGUGUUGUAUUUAAUAAUUUUUAAUAAUUUAAAAUAAUAUUAAAUUAAAAUGAGGUAACAAAUAAAUUGAAAUUGAACAUCACUUUAUAUUUUUAUUAUGAACUAUAGAAGAAAACUGUUUAGAUCCACUAUAAGUAGGUAGAUAUGUAGCAAAAUUCAGUCACAUCAAUAUUACAUUUCUGAAUGUUUGCCUCUUCAUGCUUUUAAUUACUUCGAUCGGAACUCGCCUCGUAAAUUUUAAUAAAAGACUUUAAAAUAUACAAAUAUACACAAGAAAAUAAUAACUUAGAGUUAUAUUUUUUAUUUUCAUAUGCUUGUUGUUUUGAAUGUAAAUGACAUAAAUAAAACUAAAGAUUAAUUGUACUUAAUAAAAUGUCAUUAGUGUGUUUGCAUUAUAUUAUCUUCGAUAUAAUUAUAAAAAAUAUAUUUAUUAAUAUAAAGACUUGAGUUAUUUAAUUCAAAGUUCUAAAAUAUUUUAGUAGCUCACCCAUGAGCCACCCCUAACAAUUCUCUAUCUUUCUUCUAUGACAUAUUCAGUUAUAGCUUAAAGUAAAUUCUUGAAUCUCAAUCUCUCCCCAAGAGGAACUGGAAAAAGUUGAUGAGACCAUUACGCCUUUUGAAGAUGUUACUUAAUACUCUUAACCUAAAUUCAUUAGCAGAGUUGAUGGUCUUAUUGUGGUCAUUUCUACUUAAUAUAUACUUUGGAGCACCAUUGCUACGUACGUACUUUUCUCCUUGUAGCCUUUAAAAAGUAUUUACUCAAGUAGAAUUAUGAUAAGCUAGCAAUGAAAUGUGAUUAAGUGAUGACAUCGAUCAAAUCUAGCAUCUGCCUUUUUAGCUUGUCUUUCUUAUCCAAAAAAAUUUAGCAAUACUUGAUUUUCUUCCACAACAUUCAGCCUAGCUCCUCCAUCACUAAUUUCAUCCAAAGAGGAAAUAAUGUCGCUGAUUUUGUAUAUCAAAAUAAAUUAAAUAAUAGAAGAAUCUUUUGCGGACGUACAGCAGACUGAAAUAAUACAUAGUAGUGAUAUUAAGACUCAAAAAUUUGAAAGAUCCUAUUUAAUAUAAGCAUAAUUAACAGUCAAAUCAUUCACUAGUUGUGAAUUGUUUCUUCCUCUAUUGCCUACCAGUAUCUGAUUGCAUCUUUGAUAUAUAUGAUAUUGAUAUCAUUCACCUUGUGUUGAAUGGGCAAAGUAAUUGAGAUACAACAGAGGCCAGUGAAAGCAGAUACAAAUUUUUUCUUCUGCAUCAUUGCAUGCAGUACUGGUCAAGAUUUUUCUGUUUUGGAGAUUGACUCGUGUGUGUGAGGCUCUCAUUAUUAACAACAGUCCAAACAACUUAAGGGGGUGUUUGCUCUUCCA